CCUUAUCCUCUCUGCAACUCUUCCAACAACCUCAUCACUGCACCAUCUAUCUAUCACACCUUUAAUUUGCUUAGCUUAAACCUCUAAUCUAAACUAAUCUACUUCACAAUGCUUGUCCGAUCCAUAUCCUCCUCUCACUGUUUUUCUUUACAACCUCCGCAACCGAAACCAAUACCUCAGCCGGCCACGCCAUCCCCUUUCCCACCAUUUCAACGUUAAACAAUCCGUUUCUCGGGCACCUCGCGUCUCAAUAUUCGACACAUGCUACGGCUUAAACGGUUGAUGAAAGGGGCACGUUUUGCUUUGCAUUUGCUCCAUCUCCAACCGGACUAUCCAUCAUAGCAAGAAGGCAUCCAGAUUUCGUUUGACAGCUCAAAUGAUUUUGUGAGUUUUGGCCCCAAUAUUUGUUAACUUAUUAAGCCCGAUCCCUAAAAAUAAUAAUUAUUAUGUAAAUUUUGUUAGUCCAACUACGAUAUAUAUCAUCGAGAGAUAUAUAUCAUCGAGAGAAUCAAGGCAAAAUGCCUACAAGAAUUUUACUUUUACUUUUAUUUUUUUUAUUUUUUUUUUUCAAUAUGGAGGGGGAAACCCAGGCAACACAAGAGUCAUAAACAUGGCUCCAAGCUGGAAUCUGAAGCACACAUAACCUACUGGUGCUGAUUCGGGCCAAAGUAGCAAGGGCGUCGGCUGGUUUGUUUUGUUCUCUUGGGAGCCAAGAAAGAUUCCAUUGACCAAACUUACAUGCUGUGAGAAUAUUGUAGGCUGGCCUAUGGGGAAGACAAUUGCACAGAAUACUUGCCACACUGUCCUUGGAAUCA